rnacentral:rRNA from 1 species
UACGGGGGGAGCAAGCGUUGUUCGGAUUUACUGGGCGUAAAGGGCGCGUAGGCGGCCACCGCAAGUCGACUGUGAAAUCUCCGGGCUUAACCCGGAAAGGUCAGCCGAUACUGCGGGGCUAGAGUGCAGAAGGGGCAACUGGAAUUCUCGGUGUAGCGGUGAAAUGCGUAGAUAUCGAGAGGAACACCUGCGGCGAAGGCGGGUUGCUGGGCUGACACUGACGCUGAGGCGCGAAAGCGUGGGGGAGCAAACAGG